rnacentral:rRNA from 1 species
GACAGAGGGUGCAAACGUUGUUCGGAAUUACUGGGCGUAAAGCGCGCGCAGGCGGCCCUUUAAGUCCGUCGGUGAAAGACCGGGGCUCAACCCCGCGUCAGCCAUGGAUACUGGAGGGCUGGAGACAGGUAGAGGCAAGCGGAAUUCCGGGUGUAGCGGUGGAAUGCGUAGAUAUCCGGAAGAACACCGGAGGCGAAGGCGGCUUGCUGGACCUGGUCUGACGCUGAGGCGCGAAAGCGUGGGGAGCGAACAGG